rnacentral:tRNA from 1 species
GCCUGGGUGGCUCAGUCGGUUAAGCGUCCGACUUCGGCUCGGGUCAUGAUCUCACAGUCCGUGGGUUCGAGCCCCGCGUCAGGCU